AUCUGAUCGCUUGGGUAUAUAUAAACAUCGGAUAUUUCAGAAAUUGUAUUCUGUAGUCAUAAUGAACGCCAAAGCGAUAUUUUUAGUUUGCCUUAUGCUGGCAUGCUUGAUAGCAUCCACCUACGCUGCUGCUAAUCCAGGAGGCGAUUUAAUAAGUUCAAAUCCAUCCAAUAGAGCUACAGACAACAGCCGACAAAACGCGAAUGUCGGUCAAGCGCAACAAGAACGAAGAGGACUAAUUUAGUAAUAAUUGACUUCCCAAUGAUAUAAAUAAAAAUAUAGACAAAAAUAAAA